CGCCCUUAGAGUUUGAUCAUGGCUCAGGAUGAACGCUGGCGGCGUGCCUAAUACAUGCAAGUCGAACGCAAAGAUGCUUGCAUCUUUGAGUGGCGAACGGGUGAGUAACACGUGAACAACCUACCUUAUAGUAGGGGAUAACAUUUGGAAACAGAUGCUAAUACCGUAUAAAACAAUUUUUGCAUAAAAAGUUGUAAAAGGCGUUCGCGUCGCUAAAAGAUGGGUUCGCGCUGCAUUAGUUAGUUGGUGAGGUAAAGGCUCACCAAGACGAUGAUGCAUAGCCAAGUUGAGAGACUGAUCGGCCACAUUGGGACUGAGACACGGCCCAAGCUCCUACGGGAGGCUGCAGUAAGGAAUCUUCCACA
rnacentral:rRNA from 1 species